CCUACGGGCGGCUGCAGUGGGGAAUAUUGGACAAUGGGCGAAAGCCUGAUCCAGCCAUGCCGCGUGUGUGAAGAAGGCCUUCGGGUUGUAAAGCACUUUCAGUGGGGAAGAAAGCCUUGGGGCUAAUACCCUCGAGGAAGGACAUCACCCACAGAAGAAGCACCGGCUAACUCCGUGCCAGCAGCCGCGGUAAUACGGAGGGUGCGAGCGUUAAUCGGAAUUACUGGGCGUAAAGCGCGCGUAGGCGGUCUGAUAAGCCGGUUGUGAAAGCCCCGGGCUCAACCUGGGAACGGCAUCCGGAACUGCCAGGCUAGAGUGCAGGAGAGGAAGGUAGAAUUCCCGGUGUAGCGGUGAAAUGCGUAGAGAUCGGGAGGAAUACCAGUGGCGAAGGCGGCCUUCUGGACUGACACUGACGCUGAGGUGCGAAAGCGUGGGUAGCAAACAGGAUUAGAUACCCUAGUAGUC
rnacentral:rRNA from 1 species